ACUAUGAUUGCUUUCUAAUCCGCAGCGGUGGAAGAAGUAUUCAAAUCAUCAACUUGCAAUACCACAGCAUAAAAAUACCCCAUUACAAGUAAAAGUCCUGCAUUUGCUUAAAAGUCAGCGGUCAUGGACUUGGAUCGGAGUGUCAGCGAGGUGCUGGGGGCUCGUUUUGGAGGGGGCGGAGCUACAAGACAAGAACCAAUCAGAUCACAGUUGGAGAGUGAACAGAGACACAAACACUGUUGGAUUCUGAUUUUCUGGAAACAGAUACGACCUUCAUCAGCAGUCGACUUCCCCCCUGUCGGAUCAGAGAGACGACCUGCCGGUGACCCACCUUCACCACGUCGGCACCGUUCACCUGGACGACAGACAGACAGACAGGUGAAGGUUUUGAUUCUGCGACCAGAGGGGAUUAGUGAAACGUACUUCCGGAAGAGGUUAAAUUGAUGGCAUUCCUAUAAAGUUGCACGUCUGCGUAUGUGUUUAUACAGAUUCCUUGUAGCGUUUCAGCUGUUUUUCAGUGUUAAUCUUUGCUUCACUUAUGAGAUUUCCUGUCAUGUAUCCAUGUUGUUCAUAAAUGUCUGUCCUCUUCCUCACUUAUAUUCUCAGUGUUUCUACAUAGUGCAAAUCCACUGUUGUUAUUUCUGUCCUCUCUGUACGUAAAAGUAUUCCUGGAAGACGGAUCCCUCCUCUGCUACGCUUCCUUCUUUUUUAUAAACAGUCAAAGGAUGUUUUGGAGGAGUUUUUCCCAAACGGAGGGUCUAAGAAUAGAGGACAGAUUGUAAACACUGUCAGAUCUGUGAUAUUGGGUUAUAUAAAUAAAACUGACCUGUCUUGUAAAGUACUUUGUUUAUACAGUAUGUUUUGUGCCAGAUAAAUAAAAGUUAAUUAUUAUUAUUCAGAGUCGUUCUAGCUGGUUACUUUAAGUGAUUGUUGCGUAAACAUAAAUUAUGUAAUUUUAAUUAAUUUCUCUGUACAUGAUGCAGUUAAAUACUAACACAAUAUUUAUGAGAUGUGACGAUUGAUAAUUCUGCUUCUUUAAAAUGAUUUGUUUAUAAUAAACUGCAUAUGAUUUAUUCAAUAAAGAUUUAUCCAUUAAAAUGAAA